rnacentral:rRNA from 1 species
GACGAACGCUGGCGGCGUGCUUAACACAUGCAAGUCGAACGGUGAAGGGACCGGUUUUUGCUGGUUCUGGAUGAGUGGCGAACGGGUGAGUAACACGUGAGUAACCUGCCCCCUUCUUCUGGAUAACCGCAUGAAAGUGUGGCUAAUACGGGAUAUUCUGCGCCUGCUGCAUGGUGGGUGUGGGGAAGAUAUUGUUUCGGUGUGUGAUGGGCUCGCGGACUAUCAGCUUGGUGGUGGAGUGAUGGCCUAACAAGGCGGUGCCGGGUCGACCGCCUGAGAGGGUCGGCGGCCACGAUAGGAAUGCGCCGCGGACCAGACUACGACGGGAGGCAGCAGUGAAGAAUACUGCACAAUGGGAGGCAGGAUGAUGCAGCGACGCCGCGUGAGGGAUGGAGGCCUUAGGGUUGUAAACUUCUUUCGCCAGUGAAGCAGGCCUGUCGUUUCUGUGCGUGGGUUGACGGUAGCUGGAUAAGAAGCGCCGGCUAACUACGUG